rnacentral:rRNA from 1 species
UGGAAACGACUGCUAAGACUGGAUAGGAGACAAGAAGGCAUCUUCUUGUUUUUAAAAGACCUAGCAAUAGGUAUGCUUAGGGAGGAGCUUGCGUCACAUUAGUUAGUUGGUGGGGUAAAGGCCUACCAAGACUAUGAUGUGUAGCCGGGCUGAGAGGUUGAACGGCCACAUUGGGACUGAGACACGGCCCAAACUCCUACGGGAGGCAGCAGUAGGGAAUUUUCGGCAAUGGAGGAAACUCUGACCGAGCAACGCCGCGUGAACGAUGAAGUAUUUCGGUACGUAAAGUUCUUUUAUUAAGGAAGAAUAAAUGAUGGAAAAAUCAUUCUGACGGUACCUAAUGAAUAAGCCCCGGCUAACUAUGUGCCAGCAGCCGCGGUAAUACAUAGGGGGCAAGCGUUAUCCGGAAUUAUUGGGCGUAAAGGGUGCGUAGGCGGUUAAAUAAGUUUAUGGUCUAAGUGCAAUGCUCAACAUUGUGAUGCUAUAAAAACUGUUUAGCUAGAGUAAGAUAGAGGCAAGUGGAAUUCCAUGUGUAGUGGUAAAAUGCGUAAAUAUAUGGAGGAACACCAGUAGCGAAGGCGGCUUGCUGGGUCUUUACUGACGCUGAGGCACGAAAGCGUGGGGAGCAAACAGGAUUAGAUACCCUGGUAGUCCACGCCGUAAACGAUGAGUACUAAACGUUGGGUAAAACCAGUGUUGAAGUUAACACAUUAAGUACUCCGCCUGAGUAGUACGUACGCAAGUAUGAAACUUAAAGGAAUUGACGGGACUCCGCACAAGCGGUGGAUCAUGUUGUUUAAUUCGAAGGUACCCGAAAAACCUCACCAGGUCUUGACAUGCUUCUGCAAAGCUGUAGAAACACAGUGGAGGUUAUCAGUUGCACAGGUGGUGCAUGGUUGUCGUCAGCUCGUGUCGUGAGAUGUUGGGUUAAGUCCCGCAACGAGCGCAACCCUUAUUGUUAGUUACCAGCACGUAAUGGUGGGGACUUUAGCAAGACUGCCAGUGAUAAAUUGGAGGAAGGUGGGGACGACGUCAAAUCAUCAUGCCCCUUAUGACCUGGGCUACAAACGUGAUACAAUGGCUGUUACAAAGGGUAGCUGAAGCGCAAGUUUUUGGCGAAUCUCAAAAAAACAGUCUCAGUUCGGAUUGAAGUCUGCAACUCGACUUCAUGAAGUUGGAAUCGCUAGUAAUCGCGAAUCAGCAUGUCGCGGUGAAUACGUUCUCGGGGUUUGUACACACCGCCCGUCAAAC